GAUGAACGCUGGCGGCGUGCCUAAUACAUGCAAGUCGAGCGAACGGACGAGAAGCUUGCUUCUCUGAUGUUAGCGGCGGACGGGUGAGUAACACGUGGAUAACCUACCUAUAAGACUGGGAUAACUUCGGGAAACCGGAGCUAAUACCGGAUGAUAUUUUGAACCGCAUGGUUCAAAAGUGAAAGACGGUCUUGCUGUCACUUAUAGAUGGAUCCGCGCUGCAUUAGCUAGUUGGUAAGGUAACGGCUUACCAAGGCAACGAUGCAUAGCCGACCUGAGAGGGUGAUCGGCCACACUGGAACUGAGACACGGUCCAGACUCCGACGGGAGGCAGCAGGAGGGAAUCUUCAGCAAUGGGCGAAAGCCUGACGGAGCAACGCCGCGUGAGUGAUGAAGGUCUUCGGAUCGUAAAACUCUGUUAUUAGGGAAGAACAUAUGUGUAAGUAACUGUGCACAUCUUGACGGUACCUAAUCAGAAAGCCACGGCUAACUAC
rnacentral:rRNA from 1 species